CUAGGAUUGGAGAGGAGGAAAACGAAUUCUGGAGCAUUGGCUAAUUGCUGGGCAGUUAAGACUGGAUUUGAUGACUUCUUAAGGGGAAGAUAGAGGGGGAAAAUACAGACUUUCCUAUCAGGUUAGAUAGUCACAACAAUGAGAUAGUUUGUAUGAGUUCCAGUUUUUGAAUGAUGAAGCUGAAGAUCAGAAAGGUUAAGGAUUUUCCCAUGGUCACAUAGCUGCUAAGUAGCAGAGUAUGGAUUGGAAAUAUGGGUGUCAGACUCCGUAUACUACAUUUUUGAACCUGGCAUGCAAGGCUAUUCCAAAUUGAAUCACAACUUUCUUGUUACCCUCAAAACUCUCUCCUCCUCACCUUGACCUCAUCUGACAAUUGUCUGGGAACAUCCCGCUGCCUACUUAAGCCUUGGUGUUUUGAGGCAAAGGAAAGAAGAACGAAAGUAGAGGUGAGGAAAGGCAACAUAUGUUAUAACUAGGCCGGAUAUCUUUUUGUUCUCCGUCUUCAGCAAAUGCACGUGGAACCCUAGUGAUCACCAUUGAUGAAUACUUCUCUCCAGCAAUAUCCUUAACCUGAGUGGAUGAACCCUUAUUCCAAUUGGUUACUUAUGGCUUAUUUCCCUAGCCUUUACCCAACUCCUUGCAGGUCAGAACUCUCUGCCCUUCUAGAGAGCUUUAUUGGCCAGGACCAUGGAUGACCCAAUACUGCCUUUUGCUCCUGCAUGUUUUAUGUCUGUUUAAUGAAAAAUCUGUCUCAUCCUCUUGCUCCAGUGAAGUCUGAGAGUUCAGGUCUAUCCCAAUGCACCCCCUUCUACUUUGUUGCCAUAGACUACAUUGGCAUUCUCAGGCACAAAUCAGUUAGUGGUCCUCAGCAUUUCUCAAAUGCAGGAUACACAUUUUAAUCUCAUUAACGGUCCUAUGAUUACUUCUUUGCCUCAAUAAGUUUGAAGAGAGAGAAAUAUGCCAAAAAUGUUAUUAAAACUUUAUAAAAUAAGUAUUAAUGUAGGAAUGGUGGAAAAGAUUAUUUCUUUUCUCUCCAUUCAUUUUCCAUCUGUUGAAUAUUUUACAUUGAUUUUUAAAAUAAAAUUUUUAUUUUAGAAUAGUUGUAGAGUUACAGAAAAAUUGCAAAAAUAUUAGAGAGUUCCUUUAUACCCAACAACUAAUUUCUCCUAUUACUAUUUAUUUAUUUUAGUGUCUCACUAUUUUGCUCAGCCGGGACUUGAACCCUUGAACUCUAGUGAUUCUCCCACCUCAACCUCCUGAGAAUUUCCCCUAUUAUUGAGAUUUUAAAUUAUAUAGUAAAUUUGUUAAAAUUAAUGAACCCAAACUGAUACGUUACCAUUACCUAAAGUUCACACUUUAUUCAGAUUUUUUUACUUUUCACCCAGUGUCCUAUUUCUGUUCUAAGAUCCCAUCCAGGAUACCACAUUGCAUUUAGUUUGUUUUGUCUCAUGCUCCUACAGGCUGUGACAGUUUCCCUGAUUUUCCUUAUUUUUUGAUGACCUAGACAGUUUUGAGGAGCACUAGUCAGGUUUUAUGCAGAUUGUCACUCAAUUGAGAUAUGCCUAACGUUUUUGUCAUGAUUAGACUGUGGUAAUAUAUUUUGGGGAAGAAGACGACAGGGUAAAGUGUUAUUUUUAUCACAUCAUAUCAAGGGUAAAUACUCUCGAUGUGACUUAUUACUGUUGAUAUUUAUCUUAAUCAUCUGGCUGAAGUAGUGUUUUGUAGAUUUCUUUACUGUAAAGUUAUGGUUUUUUAACCUCCUUUUCAUAUUGUAUUAUUUGGAAGGAAGUCACAAUGCAUAGCUCACUCACUUAAAGUAGUUACACCCUCACAUCCUUGAAGAAAAAGUAACUACCUAAACUAUUGAAAUUAUUUUGCAUAUAAAAAUUGUCUUUUGUUCUUGAUUUAUUUAUUCAGUCAUUUGUUUAUAUCAGUAUAGACUCAUGGAUAUUUAUUUUAUACUUUGGGUUAUAUGAUGCUUUUUAUUCUCGGAAAAAAUAAAGUGCGAAAAACCAAGUAAAUAAAAAUAUUUCUAAUUUGGAUCAAAAUUGAAAUACACUAAUAAGCAGCUUAUAAUGCAUUUUGUAAGGACCUUCAAUAUGACUUUUUAAGUAAGUUAAAUUUAACUAAAUAUAAUUAUUGUCGUAAAAAAUUUUUUGAAUAACACCUAAUUACGCUAAAGGGAAGGACUAACAAAAUAACUUUAAAAAAUAUAUUUUAAACUAAACAGCUCUUGAACAUUGUACUUUGAUAUGCAUGCUUAUUCUAAAAAUAAAAUACCUAUAUGUAUAAAUUAUAAAUUAUUUUUAUAAUAAU
rnacentral:lncRNA from 1 species